UUUUUUUUUUUUUUUAACUAUUUUCUGGACUUGGAAAAUUUAAUUAGUAAACACUGGAAUUGGGUUGUUGAAAUUUGACCUUCUAAAAUACUUCUAAUAGAAAACAAUUUUGGGAAAAUGAUUGUCUUUCAAUUGGUCAUAACACUGAGGUGUUUGGAGUACAUUGGGAAAAAAAAUAAUUUCUUAAAAGAAAAGGCUUGUGACUGCCAGCAUUGUUUGGUAGUUUUUGGCUAUGGAUUGUGUGUGUCUAGAGAAUUUUGUCAUGAGUUCCUUAUUUUCUUUAUGAGUUUCUGCAAGUUUGGAGGACUUCCCACCUUGAAAAUGGUUUAAUAUGUUCUUAAUCAGGACAAAAAAGUUUUCUGUAUUCCAUUUUUCUUUUAUACUCUUAACUCUUAGAAAUUGAAGAAGACAUUGUUCUAUAAACAUUUUCUGUGAAACAAAUAUAGCUUUAGCUGUUUCAUGUAUGGUUGUUAUCUCUGUUGUUUUAAUAUAUUAUGCAGUUUUCCUUUUUCCUACAGUUUAUACUUCUUUGGCCUCUGUUGCAAGCUCAACAUAUGUAGUGUUUUGGCUCUUACAGUUAUUGCUUUUAGUUAUACAGAUUGCCCUCUUUUGGACCCAAUUUCAUAUGGUUUUCUUUUCCUUUUUGCUUACAAAAUGCAAUAAUGGUGUUUUGGCAAAAGGCUGGUUUUAUACUAACUAUUGUUUGGUUUUACUUAACCAUACUGUGUGUGUGGGAUAAUCAGAAACCACCCUCUUGGUGUCACCUAAAUCAAUUUUUUACUUUUGAGAACACACGAGUAAAGUUUGUUGGAAUAUUUGUACAGGGGUUUAGAGUUGUUUUUGGAAUUUAAAUUUUGGAGGAAAAACAUUAGUGGAUGCUAUGUAGGGACGAGACAGACAUUGGAACUUAAUUGUUAACGUAUGUCUAUUUGCCAUAAAUUAUAAACUCUUUUAUAUUAAUGGAACAUUAUCUGUAAAAGCUUCAGUCAUUAUCAUACAUUACAUUUACUGGAAUUAAAAUUUUGAUGACAUGGGAUAUUCUAGAGUAAGAUAGAUUAAAAACCUGGAGAAAUUUUAACUAAGAACAAGUAAUUAAUGUCUUGUAACAGAAAUGGACUCCUUAUCAACUGGUGUAGGAAGCAAAUCGAAGCCAUGCACCAAGUUUUUCAGGUUCAAAUCUUUUCUCAACUAAAUAAGUGUUUUGAAUCGCUUUUGUAAUGUUUAUAAGUUAUUGUAAGAAUUUAAUUUACUAUUUUUACAAGAUAAGGUUCUGCAAUGCUCUAAUGAAGGGGGUAUUUAUAGUUGUUAUACAGGUACAUUUUCUUAAUUGUGCUUUGUCAAAUCAAGUAAUGAAAUUUAACAGAUAUGGGGUUUACUUAUGGAGUACAAAAAGAUAAUAUUUGCCUGAGAAGGGU
rnacentral:misc_RNA from 1 species